AAGUAGAGAUGCAGUGUGAGAACCCCGUUUAUGUAAGAAGACCACACGGCAAAGAAGGAAAUACGAGAUAUGCACGUUGUGCAUCCUCCGUCCGUGAUACGCACAGCCCGAUGUCGGUGAGAGAGCCGCCGUGCUUCAGACGGUGUGUCAGAAAUCAGCCUUCAGACAGAAGCCCGCCCCACAAAUGAUCUGAAAUCGCGCUGCCUCAUUCAUCAAACUCUGUUGAGGUGUGUCUUUGAACAGAGAAUAUAUCACAUCCUGCCAAAACCCAAUGUCAAAAGUAGAUAAAAUCACUGUCUACGCUAAGUGCAAAUAAAGUUUUAAAUCUAC